rnacentral:rRNA from 1 species
AACGAACGCUGGCGGCAUGCCUAACACAUGCAAGUCGAACGAAGGCUUCGGCCUUAGUGGCGCACGGGUGCGUAACGCGUGGGAAUCUGCCCUCUGGUACGGAAUAACUCAGGGAAACUUGAGCUAAUACCGUAUGAUGUCUUCGGACCAAAGAUUUAUCGCCUGAGGAUGAGCCCGCGUAGGAUUAGCUUGUUGGUGGGGUAAAGGCUCACCAAGGCGACGAUCCUUAGCUGGUCUGAGAGGAUGAUCAGCCACACUGGGACUGAGACACGGCCCAGACUCCUACGGGAGGCAGCAGUGGGGAAUAAUUGGACAAUGGGCGAAAGCCUGAUCCAGCAAUGCCGCGUGAGUGAUGAAGGCCUUAGGGUUGUAAAGCUCUUUUACCCGGGAUGAUAAUGACAGUACCGGGAGAAUAAGCUCCGGCUAACUCCGUGCCAGCCGCCGCUGU